rnacentral:rRNA from 1 species
AUUGAACGCUGGCGGCAGGCCUAACCCAUGCAAGUCGAACGAGUGGCGGACGGGUGAGUAAUGUCUGGGAAACUGCCUGAUGGAGGGGGAUAACUACUGGAAACGGUAGCUAAUACCGCAUACAAUCAGAUGUGCCCAUAGUGGAUUAGCUUGUUGGUGGGGUAACGGCUCACCAAGGCGACGAUCCCUAGGUGGUCUGAGAGGAUGACGAGCAACACUGGAACUAAGACACGGUGCAGACUCCUACGGGAGGCAGGAGUGGGGAAUAGUGCACAAUGGGCGCAAGCCUGAUGCAGCCAUGCCGCGUGUAUGAAGGAGGCCUUCGGGUUGUAAAGUACUUUCAGCGGGGAGGCGUUACCCGCAGAAGAAGCACCGGCUAACUCCGUGCCAGCCGCCGCGGUAAUUC